rnacentral:rRNA from 1 species
AUUAGCUUGCUAAUCCGCUGACGAGUGGCGCACGGGUGCGUAACGCGUAUACAAUCUGCCUUUAAGCGGGGAAUAGCCCAUGGAAACGUGGAUUAAUACCCCAUAGUAUGUAGACUUCACCUGGAGACUACAUUAAACAUUUAUGGCUUAAAGAUGAGUAUGCGUCCUAUUAGUUAGUUGGUAAGGUAACGGCUUACCAAGACGGCGAUAGGUAGGGGUCCUGAGAGGGAGAUCCCCCACACUGGUACUGAGACACGGACCAGACUCCUACGGGAGGCAGCAGUGAGGAAUAUUGGACAAUGGAGGCAACUCUGAUCCAGCCAUGCCGCGUGCAGGAAGACGGCCCUAUGGGUUGUAAACUGCUUUUAUACGGGAAGAACCACAUCUACGUGUAGAUGCUUGACGGUACCGUAUGAAUAAGGACCGGCUAACUCCGUGCCAGCAGCCGCGGUAAUACGGAGGGUCCAAGCGUUAUCCGGAAUCAUUGGGUUUAAAGGGUCCGUAGGCGGGAUAAUAAGUCAGUGGUGAAAGUCUGCAGCUCAACUGUAGAAUUGCCAUUGAUACUGUUGUUCUUGAAUUAUUAUGAAGUGGUUGGAAUGAGUAGUGUAGCGGUGAAAUGCAUAGAUAUUACUCAGAACACCUAUUGCGAAGGCAGAUCACUAAUAAUAUAUUGACGCUGAGGGACGAAAGCGUAGGUAGCGAACAGGAUUAGAUACCCUGGUAGUCUACGCCGUAAACGAUGGUUACUAGCUGUUCGGCUCGAUUGAGAGCUGAGUGGUUAAGCGAAAGUGAUAAGUAACCCACCUGGGGAGUACGUUCGCAAGAAUGAAACUCAAAGGAAUUGACGGGGGCCCGCACAAGCGGUGGAGCAUGUGGUUUAAUUCGAUGAUACGCGAGGAACCUUACCAGGGCUUAAAUGCAGUUGGACAGGUCUGGAAACAGACCCUUCUUCGGACUAAUUGCAAGGUGCUGCAUGGUUGUCGUCAGCUCGUGCCGUGAGGUGUCAGGUUAAGU